rnacentral:rRNA from 1 species
UACGUAGGGUGCGAGCGUUAAUCGGAAUUACUGGGCGUAAAGCGUGCGCAGGCGGUUUUGUAAGUUUGUCGUGAAAGCCCCGGGCUCAACCUGGGAAUUGCGAUGAAGACUGCAAGGCUUGAAUCUGGCAGAGGGGGGUAGAAUUCCACGUGUAGCAGUGAAAUGCGUAGAGAUGUGGAGGAACACCGAUGGCGAAGGCAGCCCCCCUGGGUCAAGAUUGACGCUCAUGCACGAAAGCGUGGGGAGCAAACAGG